GACGAACGCUGGCGGCGUGCUUAACACAUGCAAGUCGAACGGAAAGGCCCUGCUUUUGUGGGGUGCUCGAGUGGCGAACGGGUGAGUAACACGUGAGUAACCUGCCCUUGACUUUGGGAUAACUUCAGGAAACUGGGGCUAAUACCGGAUAGGAGCUCCUGCUGCAUGGAGGGGGGUGGAAAGUUUCGGCGGUUGGGGAUGGACUCGCGGCUUAUCAGCUUGUUGGUGGGGUAGUGGCUUACCAAGGCUUUGACGGGUAGCCGGCCUGAGAGGGUGACCGGCCACAUUGGGACUGCGAUACGGCCCAGACUCCUACGGGAGGCAGCAGUGGGGAAUAUUGCACAAUGGGCGGAAGCCUGAUGCAGCAACGCCGCGUGCGGGAUGACGGCCUUCGGGUUGUAAACCGCUUUCGCCUGUGACGAAGCGUGAGUGACGGUAAUGGGUAAAGAAGCACCGGCUAACUACGUG
rnacentral:rRNA from 1 species